rnacentral:rRNA from 1 species
UACGUAGGGUCCGAGCGUUGUCCGGAAUUAUUGGGCGUAAAGAGCUCGUAGGCGGCUUGUCGCGUCGUCCGUGAAAACUUGGGGCUCAACCCCAAGCUUGCGGUCGAUACGGGCAGGCUCGAGUUCGGUAGGGGAGACUGGAAUUCCUGGUGUAGCGGUGAAAUGCGCAGAUAUCAGGAAGAACACCCGUGGCUAAGGCGGCUCUCUAGUACGGUACUGACGCUGAGGAGCGAAAGCGUGGGGAGCGAACAGG